AUGCGCACCGACGCGACAGGUUCCCCUUUGCCGGGGAUCAAAAGGGAACUCGGGUGAAAACCCCGGGCUGCCCCUGCAACUGUAAGCGGCGAGCCGACCGGCCAUUUCGCCAUUGGGGCACAAAAGCCCCGAGAAGGCGCCGGAUCAGCCUUGACCCGUGAGCCAGGAGACCUGCCUGUCGUGGUCGUUCUUC
rnacentral:ncRNA from 2 species